rnacentral:rRNA from 1 species
AUUGAACGCUGGCGGCAGGCCUAACACAUGCAAGUCGAACGAGUGGCGGACGGGUGAGUAAUGUCUGGGAAACUGCCCGAUGGAGGGGGAUAACUACUGGAAACGGUAGCUAAUACCGCAUACCAUCGGAUGUGCCCAGAUGGGAUUAGCUAGUAGGUGGGGUAACGGCUCACCUAGGCGACGAUUCCUAGCUGGUCUGAGAGGAUGAACAGCCACACUGGAACUGAGACACGGUCCAGACGCCUACGGGAGGCAGCAGUGGGGAAUCUUGCACAAUGGGCGCAAGCCUGAUGAAGCCAUGCCGCGUGUAUGAAGAAGGCCUUCGGGUUGUAAAGUACUUUCAGCGAGGAGGCGUUACUCGCAGAAGAAGCACCGGCUAACUCCGUGCCAGCAGCCGCGGUAAUUC